GACGAACGCUGGCGGCGUGCUUAACACAUGCAAGUCGAACGAUGAAGAAGAGAAACGCGAACUUCGGUUCAAAUUUCACUUCGGAUUAGUGGCAGGCGGGUGAGUAACGCGUGAGCAACCUACCUCUUACAAAGGGAUAGCCUCGGGAAACCGUGAUUAAUACCAUAUGACACAUUCAUAAGGCAUCUUAAGAAUGUUAAAGCUACGGCGGUAAGAGAUGGGCUCGCGUCCCAUUAGCUAGUUGGUGAGGUAACGGCCCACCAAGGCGACGAUGGGUAACCGGCCUGAGAGGGUGAACGGUCACAUUGGAACUGAGACACGGUCCAAACUCCUACGGGAGGCAGCAGUGGGGAAUAUUGCACAAUGGAGGGAACUCUGAUGCAGCGACGCCGCGUGAGCGAUGAAGGAAUUCGUUUCGUAAAGCUCUGUUCUAUGGGAAGAAAAGGACUGUACCAUAGGAGAAAGCCCCGGCUAAAUACGUG
rnacentral:rRNA from 1 species